rnacentral:lncRNA from 1 species
CUUCAAACUAGAUGAAUCCGACCAGUGUAAGAAGACAGGCAUGAUAAGAAGGACAAAAGCAAGGUAACUUGCUUUAAUUGUCAUAAGAAGGGUCAUUUUGCUUGAGAGUGUACUGAGCUGAACAAGAUUUAUCUUGAUUCCUUGGCUCUAUAUCUUUAUGUUCUAGUUGUUUAUUUCUGACUGAUUCUCAUUUUAUGUGGAUUGUAAACUCAGAAGCGACCGACUACAUAACUUG